GCCUUGGCCCAGCCCCGCAUCCUCCCCGACCGUGCUCGAUCCAGCCCGGGUGUGCUGCACCCGAAACAGGCUCCCGGGGGCCGUCGGGCCUGGGGGUGACCGUGCAGGCCAGGAUCUCCCCCUUCCCAGUCGUGACAACCACAGAUGGCCCCAGAUGCCAGGACGGAGAGCGCGCUCGGGAUGUCCAGCACUCAGCGCGGGUUGGGUGGCGAAUGGAGAGCGAGUCGUCCUCAGAGGCCGCCGGCCUGCAGGCGAGAACCCUCCCAGCCAGGAGGCUGCGGCUCUGCCUGAACCCCGACCCAGGGCGAACACCCGCAUUUGGC
rnacentral:lncRNA from 1 species